rnacentral:rRNA from 1 species
UACGUAGGAUGCAAGCGUUGUCCGGAAUUAUUAGGCGUAAAGAGCGAGCAGGCGGUUUGGAAAGUUGGACGUGAAAUUUUAGGGCUUAACCCUAAAGGGUCGUCCAAAACUCCCAGACUAGAGUGCAGGAGAGGAAAGCGGAAUUCCCGGUGUAGUGGUGAAAUGCGUAGAUAUCGGGAGGAACACCGGUGGCGAAGGCGGCGACCUGGUUCGAUACUGACACUGAGGUGCGAAAGCGUGGGGAGCAAACAGG